AUGUUUCCGAGGAAUCAAAGUUUCAACCUCCCAAUGUUGCAACAAUUUUCUCUAGAUGAUAACAAUUUUUAUGGUCAAUUUCCAGUAGGGCUUGCAUCAUGCCAGUACCUACAGGUAAUUGAUCUGGGUGGAAAUUCCUUUGUGGAUGUAUUACCAAAAUGGUUUGCCAAUUUGCCAUACCUUGAACAACUAUUCUUGGGUUUUAGUGGCCUUAUUGGUUCAAUCCCAGAUGCUCUUAGCAAUAUCACCAGUCUUACUGAUCUAGACAUCUUGAACGGAAACCUCACAGGAGAGAUUCCACCAAAAUUAGGUCUUAUGCAUGAAAUCUCGUAUAUGUACCUUGGAGGCAACCAAUUGACAGGUAAAAUUCCAGCUUCCCUUGGCAACCUAUCCAAUUUGUAUUUCCUUUCUUUGGGAAGUAAUCAGUUGUCCAGUCAAGUACCAACAACAAUCGGAGAAAAUUCAGCUCUAUGCACACUUGAUUUGUCAAACAACAAUUUAUACGGAAAUCUAGACUUCUUAUGA
rnacentral:rRNA from 1 species